rnacentral:tRNA from 1 species
GUGGGGAUAGCUUAACGGUACAGCACUUGCUUAGCAUGUGAGAGGCCCUGGGUUUGAUCCCAGCACCACA